rnacentral:rRNA from 1 species
GACGAACGCUGGCGGCGUGCCUAACACAUGCAAGUCGAGCGAUGAAGCUCCUUCGGGAGUGGAUUAGCGGCGGACGGGUGAGUAACACGUGGGUAACCUGCCUCAUAGAGAGGGAUAGCCUUCCGAAAGGAAGAUUAAUACCUCAUAAGAUGGUAGUUUCGCAUGAAACGGCAAUAAAAGGAGCAAUCCGCUAUGAGAUGGACCAGCGUCGCAUUAGCUAGUUGGUAAGGUAAUGGCUUACCAAGGCGACGAUGCGUAGCCGACCUGAGAGGGUGAUCGGCCACAUUGGGACUGAGACACGGCCCAGACUCCUACGGGAGGCAGCAGUGGGGAAUAUUGCACAAUGGGGGAAACCCUGAUGCAGCAACGCCGCGUGAGUGAUGACGGUCUUCGGAUUGUAAAACUCUGUCUUUGGGGACGAUAAUGACGGUACCCAAGGAGGAAGCCACGGCUAACUACGUGCCAGCAGCCGCCGUAACAC